rnacentral:rRNA from 1 species
UACGAAGGGGGCUAGCGUUGCUCGGAACCACUGGGCGUAAAGCGCACGUAGGCGGCUUCUUAAGUCAGGGGUGAAAUCCUGGAGCUCAACUCCAGAACUGCCUUUGAUACUGAGGAGCUUGAGUCCGGGAGAGGUGAGUGGAACUGCGAGUGUAGAGGUGAAAUUCGUAGAUAUUCGCAAGAACACCAGUGGCGAAGGCGGCUCACUGGCCCGAUACUGACGCUGAGGCACGAAAGCGUGGGGAGCAAACAGGG